CCCUUCCCUCCCCGCACGGUUCGCGAGGCCGGAGCCACCCCCGGCACCUGCCCGGCCCUUCCUCCCUCAUCCCUCAUCCCUCCCUCAUCCCUCCCUCCAUCAUUUCCCGUCUCCCAGCCCUCCCCGCUGCCCCCGGGCCGAGCCGCAGCAUCGCGGGAGCCGCGGCCAUUGCGGCCGAGGCGGGGCCGCUCCCGGGGCCGCUCCCGGGGCCGCUCCCGGCGCUCUCCCCGCUCGGCCCCGGCCAUGAGGAGGAGGAGGCGGCCGGCGGCUCCGUGCCGAGCCCCCGGUGGAGGCUGAGAGCCCCCCGGCACCUUGCUGGAGCCCCGGACUGACGGUGCUGAGCCCCCGGUGGAGGCUGAGAGCCCCCCUGGAUGCUGCUGAGCCCCCCCCAGGACUGGCGGUGCUGAGACCCCCGGACGCUGAGAACCCCUUAGGAGGAGGGUGCUGAGCCCCCCUGGCCGCUGCUGAGCCCCCCUGGACCCUGCUGAGCCCCCCUGGCCGCUGCUGAGCCCCCCUGGACCCUGCUGAGCCCCCCUGGAUGCUGCUGAGCCCCCCUGGACCCUGCUGAGCCCCCCGGACUGGCGGGGCUGAGCCCCCCCCGGGCCAGUUCCGAGCUCGGGGCUCCUGCCGGGCUCCCCCUGCUCCUCCAGCCCCGGCUCCGUUCUCCCUUCCCGAGGGAUCCCCUCGCUCCCGGCUCGGUUUUCCAGAGGGAUCCCCUCGCUCCCGGCUGCGCUGCCCUGCGCUCCCCCCGCUCUCCCCGAUCCCGCUGCCGCCGCCUUUCCAGCCGCUUCCAGGGAGCUUUAUUUAAUCCGGGAUCAGCCGGGCUGGGGCCAGCGAUGUGUGACAAGCCCUGACUGAAGCCCGGCCCCGGGAUUUGCUCGGGAGCUCCCCAAGGAAGCGACACCGGCUCCGCUGGGCUGCGAGGAAGGAUCCGAAUAUCCCUGGAAAACGGCGCACGGAGGCUGCUUAUGGUAAGAAAAUUCCCGAGGGUUUUUUUGAACCCAAGGAAAACGUUGCCUGGAAAUGUGGGAGCAUUGAGCUCCACGUGGCUGCACUUUCAUGGACACGGGAGAAGAGGUUUUUGAUGCUCUGUGCCAGCACAGCACCAGGCCUUUAAAGGAGAGGGAAAUCCAG